CGUCGGCCCUCCAAAGGCCGGCACCGAAGAGGCUUGUUUCUCUUUGCCCGGCGUGCGGUGGGGACAUUCCCUUACCAAUCCACGGCAGCUUCCGGGUGCGCAUGCGCCCGCGCCGAACGCGUGUCUC
rfam:Methylobacterium sp. Leaf399 contig_2, whole genome shotgun sequence.